rnacentral:rRNA from 1 species
CCAAUAGCGUAUAUUAAAGUUGCUGCAGUUAAAAAGCUCGUAGUUGAAUUUCGGGACCGAUAUAUCGGUCGUGCCUCGGUACGUACUGGUAUUUUCGGUUUCUCCCUUCUGACGAACCUUGAUGUCAUUAAUUUGGUGUCUUGGGGAAUCAGGACUGUUACUUUGAAAAAAUUAGAGUGUUUAAAGCAGGCUCACGCUUGAAUACAUUAGCAUGGACUAAUGAAAUAGGACGUUUGAUUCUAUUUUGUUGGUUUCUAGGAUCGACGUAAUGAUUAAUAGG